GAAAAUGCAGCGCAUGCAAGGGGAAAUCAACCCCAUUUGCCUAAUAUACCUUGAAUACCUUGGUAUGUUGUCUUCGCACGCGAGGUGAGAGAUCACUGGUCAAAACAUAGAGAUGAAUGAGAACUGAACCCUGUUACUUGUCACGGAUACUUUUAAGUAGUAAGGGCUCGCGCACACUAUAGCUGAAAGCGGAGCUGAAAUCGGCGCUGAAAUUGGAGCUGAAAGCUCACUUGAUCUGAGAGCUUUUUCCAGGCAGAAUCAGCUUGCAGGUGCGUACAUUGUCGGCUGAUCUGAUUGCUGAAAGCUGAAAGCCAUUUCCUCCCUUUGUCUCCUCAAGUGGCAUCAAAAGUUAUCAUUAUAAUUAUUAUUAUUAUAUUGUUAAUUAAUUACUUCACAGCACGUACAGUAGCCAGACGGAAGUUUUCUUCGUUUUUUUUUAUUCCGUGUAUUUCAACCACAUUUCCGUUAUGUAUUGUAUUCGUAUUACUUUUAUUUUACGAAUUAUUAUUAAAUUUCUCAAUUAUUCAUUAUGUUGUAUAAUAAUAAACAUUGUGAUGUUUUCCUAGCGUUUACUGUACUUGGGGACAUAGUAUAUUAUAUUUAUUAUUGACAUAUGAAAAUGGUAAAUAAUACAACUUUUUUGCCCAAUUUAUCUCCUGCCAGAAAUAAAACUAUGAUUCAAAUAUUUUUAAUAAUCCCGCUUAUUCCCCAGCUCUGGGUUAACCGUAAUUUCGCUUAACAAUGUUUUGCAGCCCAUUUUCGAUCACUUAUGAACCAAUACACUUGAACAAAAUCAGCAAUCAGCUUGCUGAAAAAACAAACAUGCUUGAUCGAUCAAACUAAGCUGAGCUGAUUUCAGCGAGCUUUUUCAGCUUUCAGCUCAGCUCAGUCUGCAAUGUGCGCACUUGCACCGGUGCAGUGUGUUUGUUUUUUCAGAGCU